UGUAGGGAUAUUUACUGCAGUUAAAACUCAAAUAGAAAUAAACUGACCAGUUACUUGCUCCAUUGGCAACAGGUACUUUAAUCAAUUGGAGGACAACAUAUUAACUAAAUUUUUUGUUUAUUUAUCAGUUUAGCUUGAAUUUUACAGAAUAGGAAAAAAGGGUGAAGGAUUCUUACCCUCGAUCGGUGUCCAGAACACCACAUUUUUCACUACAGUUUUCGGCAUUUUUUUAUUCUUGAAUUUCUUGAUUUUUUCCUACUAAGAUCGAAAGGUACGUCAAAAUAGCGUGAAAAUAUACGAAAAACGGCCAAAAAAGCAAAAACUCUCACCGAGGGGUCGAGUUAGGGUUCCGGUGCAGUGGCAUCGCCAAGCUCUGCUGUCUAAUUCUUCUUCCCUGGCACUUCUCUCCCUCGGUUAUGGUAGAACUAGUACAAUGAUAAUGGAAUUCAACCUAAAACAUGGUUAG
rnacentral:lncRNA from 1 species